rnacentral:rRNA from 1 species
AGAGUUUGAUCCUGGCUCAGAUUGAACGCUGGCGGCAUGCCUAACACAUGCAAGUCGAACGCGAAAGGGGGCAACCCCGAGUAGAGUGGCGAACGGGUGCGUAACACGUAGGAAUCUACCCAGUAGCGGGGGAUAACCCGGCGAAAGCCGGGCUAAUACCGCAUACGCCCCACGGGGGAAAGCAGGGGAUCUUCGGACCUUGCACUAUUGGAUGAGCCUGCGGCGGAUUAGCUAGUUGGUAGGGUAAAAGCCUACCAAGGCGACGAUCCGUAGCUGGUCUGAGAGGACGACCAGCCACACUGGGACUGAGACACGGCCCAGACUCCUACGGGAGGCAGCAGUGGGAAUAUUGGACAAUGGGGGCAACCCUGAUCCAGCAAUGCCGCGUGUGUGAAGAAGGCCUUCGGGUUGUAAAGCACUUUUAGUGGGGACGAAAAAAGUCUGGCCAAUAUCCAGGCUCUUGACGGUACCUACAGAAAAAGCACCGGCUAACUCUGUGCCAGCAGCCGCGGUAAUACAGAGGGUGCGAGCGUUAAUCGGAAUUACUGGGCGUAAAGCGUGCGUAGGUGGUUUGCUAAGUCAGGUGUGAAAUCCCCGGGCUCAACUCGGGAACUGCAUCUGAUACUGGCUAGCUAGAGUUUGGUAGAGGGAAGUGGAAUUCCACGUGUAGCGGUGAAAUGCGUAGAUAUGUGGAGGAACACCAGUGGCGAAGGCGGCUUCCUGGACUAAAACUGACA